CUGCGUGGAAGGGCCAUCGCUCAACGGAUAAAAGCUACCCUGGGGAUAACAGGCUUAUCUCCCCCAAGAGUCCACAUCGACGGGGAGGUUUGGCACCUCGAUGUCGGCUCAUCACAUCCUGGGGCUGUAGUAGGUCCCAAGGGUUGGGCUGUUCGCCCAUUAAAGUGGUACGCGAGCUGGGUUCAGAACGUCGUGAGACAGUUCGGUCCCUAUC
rnacentral:rRNA from 1 species